ACGUUCCUGGAUCCGGAGCCUCAUUGCUCUUACCUUUCGUGAGCCUCAACCUCUUUGCCGUCAAAUUGUUGUUGUUUGACGUUCCUGGAUCCUUCUUACGUUCCUGCUUCCUUCCUAUGUUCCUGGAUCCUGAGCCUCAUUGCUCUUACCUUUCGUGAGCCUCAACCUCUUCGCCUCAUUGUUUGACGUUCCUGGAUCCGUCAUACGUUCCUGCUUCCUUCCUACGUUCCUGGAUCCGGAGCCUCAUUGCUCUUACCUUUCGUGAGCCUCAACCUCUUUGCCGUCAAAUUGUUGUUGUUUGACGUUCCUGGAUCCUUCUUACGUUCCUGCUUCCUUCCUAUGUUCCUGGAUCCUGAGCCUCAUUGCUCUUACCUUUCGUGAGCCUCAACCUCUUUGCCGUCAAAUUGUUGUUGUUUGACGUUCCUGGAUCCUUCUUACGUUCCUGCUUCCUUCCUAUGUUCCUGGAUCCUGAGCCUCAUUGCUCUUACCUUUCGUGAGCCUCAACCUCUUCGCCUCAUUGUUUGACGUUCCUGGAUCCGUCAUACGUUCCUGCUUCCUUCCUACGUUCCUGGAUCCGGAGCCUCAUUGCUCUUACCUUUCGUGAGCCUCAACCUCUUUGCCGUCAAAUUGUUGUUGUUUGACGUUCCUGGAUCCUUCUUACGUUCCUGCUUCCUUCCUAUGUUCCUGGAUCCUGAGCCUCAUUGCUCUUACCUUUCGUGAGCCUCAACCUCUUCGCCUCAUUGUUUGACGUUCCUGGAUCCGUCAUACGUU